CAAAAAAUACAAAUAAAAAAAUCCAUUAUCCAGAGCCAAACUCGCUCGUCGUACCUAAGCGUCGCCGCCGACGCGAGACCCGGCACGCCAUCCGCAUCCGGCCCUGCGCCCCGCGCCGCGCCGCCCCCGCCCCCGCUCGCCGAGGCCCCCCUCUCCGGAUCUCCAGCCAUGUACGGCGGCGACGAGGUCUCGGCCAUCGUCAUCGACGUGGGCUCCUACAGCUGCAAGGCCGGCUACGCGGGCGACGACACCCCCAAAUCCGUCUUCCCCUCGGUUGUUGGUUCAAUUGAACAAGCGGAAGAUACUGAUGAAGCUAAGCCAGAGAAGGAGGCUGACUCUGCAUCUGAUCCUAAGAAUGGAUCCAAGCCUAUGGAUGUGGACAAAGCCAAGACAAAACGCAAAUUUUAUGUAGGUCAAGAAUUAGAAUUCAGGAGGGAUCAUAUGGAGGUGAUCUCACCAAUGAAAGAUGGAACAGUUAUGGAUUGGGAUGUUGUUGACAACAUAUGGAAUCAUGCUUUUAGACGGAGGCUAUUGAUCAAUCCUGAAGAGCAUCCUAUGCUCAUAGCGGAACCAUCUAUAAACAGUGCACAGCAAAGAGAGAAAGCAGCAGAACUUAUGUUUGAGAAGUACAAAGUGCCAGCGCUGUUCCUAGCAAAAAAUGCGGUUCUCACAUCUUUUGCAUCUGGACGUGCUACAUCUCUAGUGGUUGACAGUGGUGGUGGGUCUACUGUGGUUUCUGCUGUGCAUGAUGGUUAUGUUUUGCAAAAGUCUGUGGCAACUUCUCCGAUUGGCGGUGAAUUUUUGACUGACUGUAUGAUGAAAAGCUUGGAGAGCAAGGGUGUUGUUAUCAGGCCCCGGUAUUCCUUCAAGAAGAAGGAAGUGAGCCCUGGAGAUUAUAAGGUUGUAGACCUUGAUUUUCCGAACACCACGGAUAGUUACAGGUUGUACCACAUGAGAGCUAUUGCUAGCGACAUCAAGGAGACGGUUUGUAGAGUUCCAGAUACUCCCUUUGAUGAAGUGGCAUAUGCAAAUGUUCCUACAACUUCAUACGAGCUUCCAGAUGGGCAAACUAUUGAAGUUGGUGCAGCGAGAUUCAAGAUUCCUGACAUUUUGUUCAACCCAUUCCUUUCUCAGACUAUUCCUGGGAUCGAUGGAUUUGGAGAUUCCACUUCGAUUCGUGGACUUCCACGAAUGGUCCUUGAAAGUGUAAAUAGGUGUGAUGUUGACAUUCGCAAGGAGCUACUCAGCAGCAUCUUGGUAAAGACAUUAAUUCCAGUGCUGCAUUGCUACUUCUCUCUACAUACCCCCAUCUUUCUGGUGGCUCAUCAUCAAUUCUGCAGUUAAAGGACCGUCUAGAAAAAGAAGUACUGGAGGAGUCCCCCCAAAAUGCCCGGGUAAAGGUUUUGGCAAGUGGAAAUUCAACAGAGAGGCGAUUCAGUGUCUGGAUUGGAGGGAGCAUCCUUGCAUCCCUUGGGUCGUUCCAGCAAAUGUGGUUCUCCAAAGCAGAGUAUGAAGAGCACGGCGUUUCCUAUAUCCAGAGGAAAUGCCCAUGAAAUGGUGGAGCAUGCAUGCUGCCCAAGCUUUGUGUUGCCGAAGAUGUGUGUGGGCAACAGUUAGAUGCAGGCGACUGACUAUCUUUAGGUCCGUGAGUGCGGCUCUAGAACAAACUCAGCUGAUACUUGUACGUGCGUGCCGAAAGAUGUGCGUUGGUCGCCACCUUUGUUAUCUGGGGGAUAUUUAUAUUGUUGUCGUUACUGAAUUAUCUUUAGCUCCACGAGUCCAACUUGAUAACAAACUCAUCUGAUACUUGUCAUUGAUGGUAGAUACUAGCAGUUCAUGUGGUGA